rnacentral:pre_miRNA from 1 species
UGAUGAUGAUGAUGAUGACGAUGGUGGUGGUGGUGGUGGUGGUGAUAAUGAAUAAUAAUAAUCAUCAUCAUCAUCAUCAUUAUCAUCAUCAUCUAUU